UACGUAGGUGGCAAGCGUUGUCCGGAUUUACUGGGCGUAAAGGGCGUGCAGGCGGUUUGUUAAGUCUAGGGUGAAAGCUCCCGGCUCAACUGGGAGAGGUCCUUGGAUACUGGCAGACUUGAGGAGGGUAGAGGAGAGUGGAAUUCCCGGUGUAGCGGUGAAAUGCGCAGAGAUCGGGAGGAACACCCGUAGCGAAGGCGGCACUCUGGGCCGAUACUGACGCUGAGGAGCGAAAGCGUGGGGAGCAAACAGG
rnacentral:rRNA from 1 species